rnacentral:lncRNA from 1 species
CUUCAUAACUAUAUGAAAUCAUAGUUGAUGUUUUAUUUCAAUUAGUUUGGUAUCAAUGACAUGUUAUGCCACUUAUCUUACACAUGCACACUAGUAAACAUGUAAGUAUACUAAAUAUUUUUAUUAGUUUGUUACUACUGAAUUUCCAUGCAUUGCUACAUUGUUAGUGUAUAUAUACUUGGUUCAUAAAACUACUUAAAACUGAGUAGUCUAAAACUACAUUUCCCUCAUAUACCUUUCAGGGCGUAAAAUUCCUGUUGUGCAGCCCUUUAUUCCAAGAGGUGCAUAUAGUCCGUGUGUUGUGACCCGACAUCGUUCACUUUCAUAAAGCAUGUCUUAGAUCUGAAAUAUUUUGACGGGAACUAACACUUUCAAGCACGCUGAGUUCAAAUCCGAAAAGUUCCCACUCCGUAGAUGGACCCGCAGUUUUCUCACAAAAUGCUAUUUUAUCUUCAAUAAUUUCACGACAAAUUUUUCAUUGUUCAACGACACGGAUCGAUGACGAUACACGAUUAUGUCACUCACCUAUUUCUAUUAACCAGUCUUCCUUUUAACAAAAGACCGGUUUUGCUCGAAUCACUUUGAGUUAUGCAAUCUUAUGCAUGUUGGACGUAAACAACAUGUCUUGUCUACAACUUUGAGAAAGUACAGAUAACGCUUUCUAAAAUCCUCAGUUCUAGAGACAUCUCUAUAAAAUCACAAGUACAUUAAUGCGAAGUCUUUUGGCUAUGCCACUGGCCUGGAAAAAUAACUCUUUUAACGCGAUCAAGGUAUUUAAACAAAAGUAGCCAACGUAACGGCAAAGACAACGCUAAAAUGAAAUAUUGUCGAUUGGUUGCUGGUAGAACACUUACGACAGGAUCAAUCUUAAAUAACCUUAAACUAUAAGAAUAAAUGUUCACAUCAAAGACAAAGAUCAGUCCCAAAAUAUAAAAUAUGCUCUGUAAACUUACGACGAAGUGGAGAAAUGCGUGCAUGAGCUUUUUAUUUGGUGAUUUCAAUGUAUAGGCUAUAUAUGGAAGCCCUCUUUCCAAUAAUAUUCGCUUAUCGCACAGUAUAACACCAAUUGAUGUAAUAGUUCAAAUGCAAUGAUAAGUUAUCUCUUGAAUUAUACAUCUCAGAAACUGUGUUGGAAAUUUAAAUGCUGAUCCAUUACAUAUAGAUUACCGUUUUACAUCGAUGUAUAAACCAUUUUGAUCGCAUGUAAGCAAUUAUUUCUCAGCCCAGAGACAUAGCCCAAAGACUUAACAUUAACGUCCUUGUAAUUUUAUAGAGAUAUAGAUCCAGAACUAAUGAUAUUAGAAGGAAUUAUCUGUACCUUCUCAAAGUUGUAGACAAGAUAUGUUGUUUACGUCCAACACGCAUAAGAUUGCAUAACUCAAAAGGAUUUGAGCAAAACCGGUCUUUUGAUAAAAGGAGAAUGGUUAAUAGAAAUUGGUUCUUUUAAGUGACAUAAUCGUGUAUCGUCAUCGAUCCGUGUCGUUGAACCACAGGCGGCCCAAUCUCGCAAGGGUCAGUAUAGACUUAUAGUAUAAAUGUAUAUUAUAUUAAUGUAUAUUAUAGUAAAAAUAUG